rnacentral:rRNA from 1 species
CCUACGGGUGGCAGCAGUGAGGAAUAUUGGUCAAUGGACGAGAGUCUGAACCAGCCAAGUAGCGUGAAGGAUGACUGCCCUAUGGGUUGUAAACUUCUUUUAUAUGGGAAUAAAAUGUUCCACGUGUGGGAUUUUGUAUGUACCAUAUGAAUAAGGAUCGGCUAACUCCGUGCCAGCAGCCGCGGUAAUACGGAGGAUCCGAGCGUUAUCCGGAUUUAUUGGGUUUAAAGGGAGCGUAGGUGGAUUGUUAAGUCAGUUGUGAAAGUUUGCGGCUCAACCGUAAAAUUGCAGUUGAAACUUGCAGUCUUGAGUACAGUAGAGGUGGGCGGAAUGCGUGGUGUAGCGGUGAAAUGCUUAGAUAUCACGAAGAACUCCGAUUGCGAAGGCAGUUCACUGGACUGCAACUGACACUGAGGCUCGAAAGUGUGGGUAUCAAACAGGAUUAGAUACCCGGGUAGUC